GAUGUUAAAAUCAUCUGUUGGAACGUCCGCGGACUUAACUCGCGCGCUCGCUAUGACGCCGUUCGUGAUAUUGUUCGCGACUCCCAUGCCUCUAUCGUCUGUCUCCAAGAGACGAAGCUACAACUAGUUGACGACUCCAUCAUCAGGGAGAUGAUUGGCCCUUUGCUUCACAACUACUUUGUCUUGCCUGCAACCGGCACUAGAGGAGGAAUGAUC
rnacentral:rRNA from 1 species